GGAACACUGACACCUUCUAACAUCAUGGCCAUAGGAGGUAGUAAGAACAGCGAGAAGCAGAAGAACUUUAUACCUGCAAUAAAGAGCAAUGAUUUUACAAUCAGUAGGGACAGUAGGAAUUGUCAGACAAGAGACUCAUUACACAUCAAAGCAGCCCAACCUACAAAACUGAUACAAAAUUCAGGAAGACAAAUUUGAAGGUUUCCUGAAUUUUCAUUCAAUGCUUCCAUCUCCUUUUCAACUCUGGGGGAGAAAUUCAGAACCAGAAGAAAGUUCAGACAUAGACUUUGUGCCUUCUGCUUAUUUCUCACUGCAUUCCACCACACAUUGCAAAAGGAGGUAGCUGGCAACACGUAUGUAUAGCUUUCAGCUACUGUAUAAUGGAUUUUGACACAGGCCACUGUGGUGAUGACCUGCGCGAAGUGGACACCUGUUAUGAAAUCUCAUAUGAUUUUGCAAAGAGCUCAUGAUAAAUGUUGUCAGUUGAACAGUCAAGCUCUACAGGCCAUGAAUUCCUAAUGGAUUUUUUGGUUAUGACUAUUCAGGCUGGGAUU